AGACUUACCUGGCAUGGGCAGUACCAUGAUCAAGACGGUGGUUCGCCCAAAGUGAGACUCAGCCUUUGCACUCAGGCUGUACUGACCUUUAUGAAUUCCUCAAAUGCAGGAAACUCAACUACAUAAUUUCUGGUAGUGGGGGACUGCGUUCGCACUCUCCCCUU